rnacentral:lncRNA from 1 species
GGGUGGGGGUGGAGGUCGGGGCGGAUGUCUCAGCCGAGGCCAGGCGCCAGAUGCCGCUCGCGUGUCUUACUUCUCUGGUUUACCUGUCUGCUCCCAGUGCAGGGGUCCGCUGUCCCUAACCCUGGAUGGACGGGAAGGGGCGGAACCGAGGCCCCCUUAGGACCGGGAGCCCAGAGGGCUGUGGCCGGGGCAAGGGGGCGUCCUAUAUUUCUUCCGGAAGUACAUCCUGAGUACUGAGGGUACAGGGAUGAUGAAAACACCCACCUGGAUGUACUGAACAAUGGCAGCCCCCACCCGAGGCUGCCCCGUGGCCUGAUGUCACCGUCCUCCUCUCAGUGAUUGGAGGCCAUUUUGAGAGUCUGCUGGGGGAGACAGACAUUGGAGCAGACGACAAAGGAUGCUACGUGGGAGAAUAAUUGUGGGUGUAAAGUACGAGCAUGGUACCAGGAGGGUCGGGUGUCACCAAGAGAUUGCACCUGAGCACGCAAGGUAUGCCUCCCGAGGUGACUGUGUCCUGCCAGAGUGCUCCAGAAGACAGUGUCACCCGUCCUGCUGGCCACUGGCUUUUGCCCUUCCUCUGUCUUGCUUCACUGGAAGAAGGACUAGUUGCUGGCAGGAAUCCGAAACAAGUGAAGGCUCCAAGAGCCAAGAGGAGGUAUCCUGAUGUGGCAGAAAGAUUUGAGCUACCAGCUUGGUGAGAAGUUCGCAGCGACCUUCAGAGAAAUUUCACACCCUGCGGAAUUUCUGCAAGAACCCCUUUCCCACUUCCUGCCCUUAACCUCCACUCUUUGCUAGACCUGCCCUGUGGCGACCACAAAAAUGCAGCUGUCGGAUCUCCAACUCCGGGGGUGUAAUUGACCGAGGUUCUCAGCUGCUGCGCUCUGAAACCCAUCACUUCCUUGGUGCUGAGGCCACGGUUCCCACAGCUGCUCCCAGCCAGAGGCAGAGGGCAGUGGGGACACUAUGGCGGGAUACUAAGGGAAUGCUGGGGAAAUGUGAGAAUCCUUUGACGGGUCACUUUGGCUCCAGGACUUCCCAUUGGCCUUACCAAACACUCCUUAGAUGACCAGCAGCCUGGAACACUUCCACCCAACCUCCUCUCCUCUCUUCUUCCUUGGGGUCAUACUUGCAUUGGUGGUCUGAUGGCUCCCAUCUUCUUCCAGCCCCUUCCAGAUUUCCCCCCACAGGCAUUUCUGCUAAUAAACCUAUUGCAUGUUUCA